GCAGAGAGCUUGAGGGAUCUCCAACCUACUCCGAGGGGCCUCAAAAAUGAACGCAGGCCAGGUCAAGUGCUGAUUUGUGAUCAUGAUUUGAUGCUUCUUUGAUUUACCUGGCGGAACAGAGAGAGAAUUCAUGAACAGCCAUGGUGAGAGUUUAGUGCUGUGUAUCCAAUGACGGAACUGAGAGUUUGGAUAAAGCCAUUUGACUGCAGCUCAAAAGAGCACACUGGAGGGAAGAUCCAACUGUGAAGUAACCAACAGCAUUCCCCCAAUGGGUACAUGAAGAAGCGGGAUGGAAGCAAAUACAAC